rnacentral:rRNA from 1 species
UACGGAGGGGGCUAGCGUUGUUCGGAAUUACUGGGCGUAAAGCGCACGUAGGCGGCUUUGUAAGUUAGAGGUGAAAGCCCAGGGCCCAACCCUGGAAUUGCCUUUAAGACUGCAUCGCUUGAACAUCGGAGAGGUAAGUGGAAUUCCGAGUGUAGAGGUGAAAUUCGUAGAUAUUCGGAAGAACACCAGUGGCGAAGGCGACUUACUGGACGAUUGUUGACGCUGAGGUGCGAAAGCGUGGGGAGCAAACAGG